AAACAACAUUGAAACGCCUCCCUCUCUUGCACAAGGAAGGUUUGAAGUUGCUUCUUCUCCGGCAACUGGUUAGUGGCGAGUGUCCAUUAACCAGAUAAUAAGGGAGGAAAGCUUGCUCCGGUAACAAAGCGUCGGAAGACGAUUGGCGAUGUCGCGAUGGCGCUAGUGGUAGAGUGGCAGCGGAUGUGGUGGUCGUAGAUGAAUACGGCGGACAGAGGCGAUCAAAGAUGAAAUAGAUAUGGAAGGAGGCGAUUGUUGUGGUUCAUUAUCGUUUGCCUAGCUUGUAGAUCUCGACUUUCAGCUUGUCGUCGCUCGUAGAUAUGGCAUCGCUGCUCAUUGGAGUUCCAAAAUCUAGCCUCGCCUAUCAUCGGUGGUGUUGUGGUCGUCAGUGAUAUUGCGAUCGUCGUCAGUAGUGGCUGUUAAUGAAAAAUUAUAGAUCUUGAUAUAGAGGACGAUGAUGUUAGUGGCGGAUCUCGUCGAUCUACUGAGCUGGAAUACGCCGACUUGGAUUCCGGUGAGCUAGUGGUGGGGGGGGCAUCGACGACGAUAACGACUGCAGAUGGUUGUUGGUGGUAGAAGGAAAAAGGAAAGUGAGAGGUUGAUGAUUUUGAGAAUGACAGGACAUGAAUCAAAUCUAGUUUUUAGAUUUGGAUUUUAAGAUCUGAUUUAUUUAUUUGUGAAAUUAGACUAAAAUUUGUUGUUGUUUACAAUUCUAUCAUUUUUUUUUUAGUAAUUGUUAGGUAAAAUAGAUAGUUCUUAGGUUUUUAAUUUUAUUUGGUUCUCAUUUUA